UUGUGACCCUCAUGCCAUGACAAGCAAAGGGGCGUCCCUCAAGAGACGCCCAUCCGGCCAUAUGCGGGCCAACAGAGUAGAAUGCCAUGAUGCGAUCGAGGAGGACG